GUGCCAGCAGCCGCGGUAAUACCCGCAGCCCAAGUGGUCACCGCUAUUAUUGGGCCUAAAGCGUCCGUAGCCGGCCUAGUAAAUGCCCGGGUAAAUCGGGCCGCUCAACGGUCCGAAUUUCGGGUAGACUGCUAGGCUUGGGACCGGGAGAGGCCAGGGGUACUUCAGGGGUAGGGGUGAAAUCCUGUAAUCCCUGAGGGACCGCCGGUGGCGAAGGCGCCUGGCUAGAACGGGUCCGACGGUGAGGGACGAAGCCCUGGGGAGCAAACCGGAUUAGAAACCCGGGUAGUCC
rnacentral:rRNA from 1 species